GGAACAAUUUCCUCUGCUAUAAUUCCCCUUUAUUUUCCCCUCACCUCAGUUCAUUAUAUUUCCCCAGGAACCACAUUUCUCCCUGCAAAUAAUGCACAACUAUGUUUCAGGCAAGUAAUUUCAUGGACUCAUGCACAGAUCCUUUUUCCUGAAAGGUACAGUUAAUUUAGAACAUACCCUCAAGGACAGCUCUCUGCAGUGGAAGAGAGAAAACAUACGGCUUAAAUUUUCAGCAGCUAAAGUUACAAGAGGAAACAAGACUCACUAUCACUCACCAGUGCAGGAAAGCACAGACAGAGCAUGGAAGUGCAGUAUAAACCUACUGGUUCCUACCUUAAAUGCAGCAUGCUGUAUAGGCAAUUAAAUGUAA